GGGUGGGACAUGAGACUUAAGUAGCAUCUACUUGUUACCGAAAAACUAACAAUUCCUUUUAUUUAUUUAUUUUUUUUUUAAAAAUCAAACCCAGGGUGCUUCAUCACUGAGGUUUAUCCUUAGCCCCGCCUUCUAUUUUUUAUUUUGAGAUAGGGUCUUGCUAAAUUGUAGAGGCUGGCCUCAAACUUCUGGUCCUUCUGCCUCAGUCUCCCAAAUUGCUGGGAUUACAGGUAUACAACACCACACCCGGGAAACUUUAUUUUUACAUAUGUACACACACAUAUGUACAUGCACAUGUAUAUACAUGUGAGUAAAUAGCAAAGUGCAAAAUUUGUACAGCAAUGACAUUAUUUCAUCUGGCAAACCGACAAGAUUAAAAAUUACAGCGUGGUGCACACUGGGUUGGUGGGAGUACAAACCGGGACACCUUCUUUGGGGGCGGUGUGGCAAAAUGGAAUAUCAAGCAGCCACUCAAAAAGAGAAACAGGAUGUCUAGUAUGCACCAUACAGAACCAUCUCCAAGGACGAGCCACACUUAAGAAGACAGACUAAGGAGCAAAACAACGUCAGACAGUGUUGACAUGUCAAAACACGACAUAUGCAUUCACACGUGUCCCUGUGGACUUAUAUGACAAGACUGACACUGAAGGAAUGAAAGGCAACAUGCCAACAGCAGCUGCCCCCCCAACCCAGGAUACAGCUGUGCAACCCCAGGAAGGCGGGGGACACUCCUCUUUCACUCUGUGCCCACUUUGGUGUGACUCUGUUACACGGGUCUCUGUCACCCUUCCAGCACACACGUGCAACAACUCCUCUGAGCACUCGAGAGAGGAACCAGCACAUGGCUGGGGACUGAAAGGGCACAGAGCAAGCAGCUCCAAGCAGGAUACGCAGGACACAGCACCAGGGCUGGGGACAGCAGGAGGGAGGGACACGGGGCAGCUGACCAAGAGCACAGCAUGAAGUAACAGUGCUGUCACCUGGGCUGAUGGGACAGCCACGAGGCCUCACCCUGGAGUGUGAAGAUGCCAGACGCCACCCUCCCUCCCAGGACUGAGCCCAGAGUGCGUCAGCACUGAGCUGGGCCCAGACCUUUUGUAACUUUUUCAGAAGGCUCUCACUACAUUGCCGAGACUGGCCUCAAACUUGUGAAUGUUCUGCUUCAGCCUCUGAGUCACCGGGGUUAGGCAUACGACUGUCCUUCCUCUCUUUUUCUGGGGUGCUAGACUUCGAACCAAGGGUGCGCUCCCUCUCCUACUGAGCUAAAUUUUUAAGGAACUCUCCAAACCCACAGAGAGGGCAGGAGGGGCUGCACAGCGUCUGCCCAGGCAGAACGAGUCGGCAGAAGUGAGAGCACUGAUUAUUUCCAGCAGGUAAAAUUCACUGUAUCACACACUGUCCUUUUAACUUACUUUAAUGGCUUCCAAAACAUGAAUAAAAUAAUAAAACUGGAACCUCAUGUGU
rnacentral:lncRNA from 1 species